GCUCUCCGGUGGUGCGUUACCAAGGCAGCGGAGACAAACAGGUGCUAGUGCUGCCCUCUAACGGACUUCUUAACCCACUGCAAAUCUGAGGACUUUGGACUGCUCGAGUGCAGUGAAUAUCAAUUGGACAUUUGCAUCCCUCUAUGGACUCGGGAGUCAUUGCAGAUGUCUGUGCUGCUCAACAGCGCUGAAGAUAAGCACAUCAUGCAGCUGUUCUACACAAAACAAGCCCGUCUGUGUGUCUGUGUAUGUGGGAAUGCGUGUUGCUUCACCUCCUGGGAUUCCUUAACAGCCAGAGAGGACUGAAGUCUCCAGAGAAUUAAAGAAUAUCUUUUGUUGCCGUC